rnacentral:lncRNA from 1 species
CUACAUUAAAUAAUAAGCCUACUACCUGACACCAGUACCUAGUUUCUUUUUUAAUUCUGAUAUUCAUCAAUUAUCUUUGUUUUUUUUUCUUCUCUCGCACUUUUCCUAUCAGGCUCUCUAUAUCUCCACCACAUUAUCAACACCUCUUCCUCUCUGGUGCGCCAUCGUCACCUCCCUUUCAUCCGAAUUGCUGCCUCGUACUCCUAUGAUAUGCAUCACUGCCUCUUCCAAAUGGAAUCCAUCCUCCUCCUCCCCUCUUCUCUUUUCCUUUUUCUCCAGUCCGGGUAGUACCAACCCAUAGUUCAGUAUGCUGCCCCAUAUCCAUAGGUCCAUAACAUACCAGUUCAGCCAUCAGAUGUAUCAAUACCAGACCGAGACUUAAUUCAUAAGAAUUACAAACAAAAUGUUCUUGUUGAACUAUUCAAGCUUCUCCUAUAGUUGAUGAAGGCAACUCAUAGAUUCCUUGCCAUUUCAGGGAAUAUUCCAAUGAGUAGUCAAACAAAAAUAAAAUUUUCAUUAAUGAUUGACUUCUUUUUGUUAGAUCAAAUUAGCUUAAGAAAACUACUACUCAUUUGUUUCUCUCCUAAGAUAAAAGGGGAAAAUCACUUGUAAACUUGCUUCAGAAUGAUUCAGACUGCCAUGCAAUAUCAAGAGCAUACAAAAAAGUCAAACUAAAGAUAAAUGAUGAUGAAAUACAAGGUCACAAAGUGGUUCUGAAAACCUUGCUGUAUUGUCAAAGGAUGCACUCAAAAGCUGGCUGCCAUCACGAGAAAACACAAUACUUGUUACACCUUGAGAAUGUGCUCGCUCAAGGCGACGCAAGCAUUGACCCGUUCUAAUACGCCAAACCUGUGGAAAAAGUUUACCAAAUUUAUCAAGUUCAAUAAGGCAUACAUGAAAAACAGAAAGAGCAACAACUAAAUAAAUGCUUGACCAGUUCAAGAACCAACCUAAGAAUUUGGACAUAAGUUGGUAGAAAUGAUGUUCCAACUAGGAAAGAAUUGAUCUGUCACUUUACUGAAGAUCAAAAAUCAAGAGAAAGAUAAAUCUGAAGAUGAGAAGGUUCUUCACCUCCAAAAACAUCAAAGGACACAAAUGCAAUGAGGUAGUUCAUGAAUGUAGCAGCUGUUUGUGAUAUUGGCCAUAUAAUACACCCUAUCAAUGUCUAUUGCGCCCAAGGAUGAUGAGAUAUUCCAUAGAAAGCAGUUUAAUUAAAAAAACAAUUCUUUUACUAAUGAAAUUUUCACUUGGCAAAAAAAUUUCCAAAGUAGAUGAAAAUCAAAAGGGGAAAAAAAAUAUUCUAGCUUACAACAAGCAGUAGUUCAAUAGCUAGAUUAAAGUCAUUGGACUAAGCUUCAACCACAUGAAAAUUGAAAAGUACAUACACAGUUGAAGUAUCAUACCUUAAUUUUUCCAUCCUGUGAUCCAGAUGCCAGCAUUUCUGAAUCCCGACUAAAAUCAACACAAAGCACAGCAUCAUCAUGCAUCAUAAAAGCAUCCUGUACCCAUUAAGGAGCGGUCAGAAGAUUUAUAAAGGCAUGAUUUGAGAUUAAACAAUUAUGUUAUGCAGAAGGAAAAUUGCUUACAAAUAAUAUUUCAACAAUAUGACAGAGAAGAAAACUAGUUUUCAUCAGCAUAUACCAACAACAUGAUGUUCAUAUAUAUCAAAUCAGCUUCCAUAGGAAAGAAUAUUAAAGAUCAAGGUUAAAGGAAAAGAAUUUUCUCUUCCAGAGAUUUCCUUUUUGCCAGCAUAAAUUAUAAUUAGGAGUCCAGUUAACAGUCUUUGAUGAUAUAUAGAGUUAUGAUAUAUUCUUAAUAAAACUUUGAAUUCUCUAUUGCCCAAUGAUCAUCAUUAUCUCUUCUGCUGACUCUUAUAAAAUUUGCCCAACUUACAACUCUUCAUCUUUCCUAUCGAAGUAUUCAUCUCCCUCAUCCCUCACUCCCUUUAUCAUAUUUUUUAAUAUAAAAUUUUAAUGCCUUAUAAACAUAUCAAGUAUGUUAAGUUAUAACCACAUUGCUCAGAAAUAAGCACUACAACAAAUCACAGAAAAGUAUGUUUUCCUUGAUAUGAUGACAACUGCAGGCUUACUGACUCACAUCAGCCUGAUACUGCAGAUCCUUCUUAAGCUUCCCACUAAUAUAAUCCCAAACCUGAACAUAAUGCACAAGUCAAAAGAGAUGCAAUUUUCCACAAUACCGUAGCAUCAGAAACUGAAAAAUGAAUUGGAAAUUCUACCUCAAUAAAUCCAUCAACCGAGCAUGAAACUAGGUACUGACCAUCAGGCGAAAAUCGAGCACAUUCCGGAUGACUUUUCUUUCCAAACUGAAAUGAACCAGGUAAUAAAUUGGAGUUUAUACAGAAGAAUUUUUGAACUCUUAGCAUUCAAAAGAUAGGUCUGCAUCUAGACAUUCCACCAAAAGAUAGUGCCUACAGAAACUUUACAGUACAAGGUGAUGAGGAAAACCACCACACCAAUUCCAUAGCACCAUGUAACUGUAAGCACAACAUAUGAAAUAAAUUCUUGCAUAUACUAGAUCAAGCAAGAUCAACUGCAAUAUUAUGAUUAAAAAAAGAAAUUUAUGAGAAUAAAAUUAUGUCCAAGAUAUUUGCUAUUACAAAAUAAUCUCUAGGAAGACUGGGUCCAGUGAGAUUUAAGUUGAGGAUGACUACCAAAAUGGAACAUAAUCAACAGAGAAAGUAAUAUAUCAAAUAUUUUUUCAAAGAGUAUUUGUAUUAGUCUGAUCACAAAUGAAAACUCUUUACUCAUCUUCCAAAAGUGGCCCGUUAUGACAAAAUAAAGUUAAUCCCCUUAACAGUUUCCCAGCAACUGCAGCUAAUCUAGAAUGCUAACAUAUCUAGACAACCAACAAAAAUUAAUAUGCAUGCACCAUGGAUUUAAUGCAACAUGAAUGUUGCUACUUAUUAACACAACUUGAACUGUUAAAGCCUAGUUCCUACAGACUCUUUGGAAGGACAAAAAAAUCUUCAACUAAUGCUCAAAUGCAAACAAAUUUGACCUUGAAUUUCUAUGAACAACCCAUGCAUGCUAUAAGUAGCACUAGGAUUGUCUUAUAAGCCAUCACCAUGAUUGAUUCUUGUAUGAUUUUUAUAGACACUAACUCCUGCAUCAUAAUAUUAUAUGAACAAUGUCGAGGUAUUACAUCAAACAGUGUACCACUCAUAGAGGCAUUAAAUACUGGUCCAAGCCAGGAUGAAGCAAUAGACACCCUAUAUCAGUGCAUACACAAAACCAACCUUAGACCAGGUAUUAAUGAUGUUUUGGUUGGUUUGGCCUUAAAUUGAUUACGGACAGACUUCUUAUUUGGACUUUGAUUGAUUUCUGCGAAAAAAUUGACUAAAGCAUCAUUAGAUUCAUUCCAUAUCUAACCCAUUACAUUGCACCUAGAGACUAUCACCAAAAGUAACUUAACUAGACUUGCCCUACUACUAGCAUGCGUGUGCGGUUGGAUGACAUCUACGAAGAUCUCACUGUACAUACAUAUUUUGCCAUCUCUCACACUGUGUCUAUAUAUAAACACAAAUUUGUUAAAGGACACAAGUUGAGAAGGCAAGAAAACAAAAGAAACUAAGAUGUUCUUGUUUAAAAUAAACACUCCAGUGCAGAAUCAGUUCUUGUUGCUCAGAGCCUCAGACAAUAGUAGAAGAAUUCUACACUUUUGCUUUGACCUUUUUGUGUGUUAUUGAAUAUGACAAGAUUUACAUAAAACAAUGGUAGUAAAAUCAUACAGAGUUUGUGUUAAAAAAAAUUCAUACGAAGUUUAUCAAAAAUAACCACAUACUAAAAAAUCUUUAACAAAAACUGUUAUUUACUUGAAAGAUGAGUCUACAAGGUUGCAUGAUGCAUUUAAUCAGAUUUUUUACACAUGAAAUGGACUAAAUAAUACCUUAAUUGGGUGCGCAAGGGUUGUCGGAUAUAUAUCAUCUUCAUCUUGCUUCAUUGCAGCUGUUCCUCGGAACAAGUCAAAUUGAGUGCCUGGUGGCAACAAUCCUGAGAUAUGUGAUAGGAAAACAUAUGCUUCAGCCAUGAAAGUCAAUACCAUUGAAAGCCAACAAGGCUUGGACUAGUUCAAGUAAAUUCCAAAGUUGUACCUUGAUGUUGCUGCCACUUCAGAGCCUGACCGAUCAAUGCCAUCAAUCGAGAUGGUGGUACAACAGAUACUUCAGCAGCAAGAGCUGAAAAGAAAUUCCAAAGAGAGAAAAAUUAGUGUAGGAAUUAAUAUGAUACAUCAUCACCAACAACAUAGAUGAUCAGAGCUGUCCUAGCAAACUUAAAAAAGCAAGAGCUUACAUAGCAGAUAAACUAUGACCAAAAUAAAUUCUUCCAUAACCAACGAGGCAAUUGCAAGUCACCUUAUCAAUAACCUCAAGAAUUAAACCAUUGUUUCUUGUAUAAAAAAACUAUGAAGAACAGACAUAAAUAUGUUAUAGACCAAUGCCAAUACUGCUAAUCAUGGAAAAGUAGGAAAGCACAUAGCAUGGACAUGGCACCUAAUAACUACAUUAGUUAUAUAUACUGCUAUAUGAUGCAUAUAUGAAGAUAUGUUUACACAAUUUAAGAUCACCAUAUUCGUACUUAUAACAAGCAUAAUAAUCAUUCAUAUACUUAGCAGUUAGCACUGCCAGAAGCCCUAUAUAUAUAAAGUCCACAUUUGCCAGAAGUCCUUUCUAGAUGAAAAAAAAGACCUUCAAUAUUUCAUAUAUCAAUAUUAAUAAACAUAGAUAGUGCACAUGACUUAUCAUGUUUUUAAGUAUUUAGCAUGCUUGGGAAGUGUCUUAUAAGUAUCAGUGUGCCACACCAACACAACAUGAACAUCACAAGAAUUUUCUUAAGUGUCAAUGCUUCAUAAAAAUAAAUUUCAUUGUCUAAGAAACAACAAUGACCAUUGAAUUCGAAAGAAAUUACAUAAGCAUACAGCUACUAUAUAACACAAUGUAAUUGUGAUUCUUAAUAGAUAAUGAUAAGACCAGAAAAAGCUGAGUGAUUCUGGCAAAAAUAAAUUCUAGAAAAUCAAUAUGUGAGACCUAACACCAAAAUACAUGGGAAGAUUAGCUCAAAUGGCAAAUUGAAACCUUGAGCAAUUUGUGCACGGCGCUUCUCCUUAGUUGACUCUUGAUAUGCCUAUUACAUGGAAGAAGAAAGCAUGAUCAGAAAUAGAGUAGCCAGGUACAGUUUGAUAGCUAUCAAGCACCGCAAACAAAACGAGUUGUAAAGCAAAUAAAUAGUCCAUGAUUUAAUAUAUCCAUCAAUGACUGCAAAUAAAUGUUCCAGAUUAUGCCUGCUUUCUGUUGCUACAGUUUUUUAUAUAUCUAUCUCAGUGCAAGUGAGCCCAUUGUUAGAUAAGGGAGGGCGAUGAUGAUCACUAUAAUGCAAAUACAUGGCUGUACAAUCUGAUCUUAGUAACAGGGUUAAACUCACAAUGACAAAGGCAUUUUGUCCAGUUUUGAUUUUUUGAACAAAGAAAGAAUAUGAAUCCUUGCAAGGUCCACUUGUAUCCAUGUUAGAUUACACUUAAUUGAUGCAUUUAGACAUUUCCUUGAACAUGUUAAUGAUGUACUAAUUUCUCAGCACAUUCUUUAGGCACUAAACCAGGAACUUUUCAUGGUCUCAAUAUUUCCUACCAAAUCUUGCCAGCAACAUGUUGGAACCAAAUUAUAAGAAAAAGCAACAGCUCUUCCAAAAGAAACAGAAAUCAUGCUCCCUUGAUCAGACGUAUAAAUUCUUGAUAUACAUAUGAAAUGUGAAAUUUUAGAACCUGUCAAUGCAAUCACUAAGCUUAAAAAUUCUAGAGAUUAUAGUUUAGUAUUACAUCAGUCAAUGGAACUUCACAAUUUCUCUCUCAUGAAUGCCUUCAGCUCUAAAUCAGUUGCGCUCAACUCCUGUCCCUUUCUAACCAGAAACUACCACUACUGCAUUAUAAGCUUCUCCAAAAAGUUCUAUAACAUGUUUCAUACUUUUCAUCUAGGUUUCCAGGCAAGGAAAAAGUUAGGCCUAAUGUCCUGAAUCUUGUCCUCACUUUUUUUUGCACAGUGAAAACUUAAAUGCACAUAAGAGAAUAUAUUAAGAAGCAAGAGAUCACAAUAGCAUUUUAGUGGGUAACAGCACAGGAUAUGCUCAUAAAAGGAAUGACAGGAUGUAAAUCACUGCAUAUUAUAAAUAGCUAAUAUAUGCAAACCUCAUUGGGGUCAAAAUACGUCCGGACUAAGAGAUGCUCAAGACGUAAGUAUCUCUCAGGUUGCUCUUGCUUCAUUAUUCCCAUAACCUGAGUUUGUCUAAGAAUAGCACGAGCAGUGUCCAACUCCCGAAGCUCAAUCAUUUCUAACACAAUCUGCCACAGAAGAAAAAUAAAUAUAAGAGCUGGUCUCAUAAACAAAAUCAAUUAUCUCCAAAAAUCAGAUAAAUACUGCAAACAUAAAGAAAGCCAAACUCAUAUUAAAUGAACAUAGAAGAGAUAACUAGCUUAAGACCUCAACAUGUAAACAAAUAAAAGAAACAAAUGAAAGGAAAACAUAAGUUUCAAGCAUGCUGAUCUUAUCUGCAAUGUCCGGCUUGAUGAGAUAACUGACCUAUUAGCUUGAGACCUCAACAUGUAAACAAAUAAAAGAAAUAAAUGAAAGGAAAACAUAAGCUUCAAGUGUGCUAAUCUGAUCUGUCAUGUCAGGCUUGAUGGGAUAACUGACCUAUUAACUUGAUGAGUUUAAACCACAGGCUCAAGACACUUAAACUAUUAGUCCUAUAUAACCUUUAAAAAUCAAUUGAAGUCUUGUCACACUUCUAAUGUGGAAUUAAACUGGGGGUGUUCCAUUAUUCAUGUCUAAAUAGAAGCAAAUUUGGAUUACAUUACAGUAAUUACACUGAUCUAUGAAGAAAUAUUUUAAGGACUUCACAAAUAAUCCCAUCAGAGUAGCCAUUCAAAUAAAAAGAAAGAAUCAUUGGAUUAUAAUCUGCAGAUCUUAGGCCAAGAAAAGAACACUGACCACAACAGUCUCACAGCUACUCUCUUUCCAAGUCUAUGACAGAAGCCAAGCAAUGAUGAGUUAUUUAACAUUAAACAGAGUACACAAGUAAAUUCAUACGAAGUUACAAUCUCAAAAAGAAAAGGAGCAAGUGUUUAGAUAAAUCGGUUUAAAAAAGAGGCACAUGCACAAAGUUCCAAGUUACAAACCUGUUCAUAGAGGUCCUCCAGGUUCUUUCUUGGAAGUUUAAGCUGUGCCACUUGUGGCAAAAUUGCAUCCCAUCUUCCACUAUUAAUAUCAGCAACAAAUGUUUCAAGGCUGUCUACCGUGUUUAAUGAAACUUGGCACUCACUCUGCAAUGUCUGGAAGGUUUGGUGUAAUGAAUUUUCUUUGCAGAAUUGUAGAACAAUUUUGAUUACACUGCAAAAACAAAUGAUAAGCGAUUGCAAAUUCAGAAACUGCAAAUAUUUAACAAGGACAGACCUAUCAAGAGUAAAUAAAUAUUGUAAUUUUGUUUGGUGAAGAUGAAAUAGCUCUACGUAUAUCUCAUUCUACAGGAGUUUAUUACAGACAUCAUGGAACAACUUUCUUCUUUCUGUAAAGUUGAAAGAGAAAAAACAAGGAAGAUAAAUCUGCCAGUGGUUUUCUUCUAACUGAUGUGCUAGUAAAAAAACACGCAAACAAAGCAUCACUAAGAAAAGCCCAUUAUCUUAAAAGCAUCAACACCCAAAGAUUAAGGUAAGAUUCACAACACGACUGAGAUGAUAAUAAAUUUCUAGCUUAAGGUUUCACUGUGUAUGCACGAUUUAUUAAUCCUGGACUACCUCAAGAUCCUCUCAAAACUCUAGGAACUUGAAACAAGCUUCUUUAAUAUGACUUUAAAUGAUUCUACCAGAUUUUAUCUCCACUGUAUAAAAAAAUUCAUUCUCCAUCUAAAUAAACCCAAAUGCCAUCCCUCAACCAUUUGUAGAUCCCUCCUUUUGGUAUAAUCCGCCCACUUCUAUCAUUCCAUGAUGGAAAGAGCGACAAAUGUGAUUUCUUGGUGCCAAAACCUUAAACAAAAUAUCAUUUAUUAAGAGGCAAAUGGACACAGCCUUACCCCUACAACCAGAGGGGAAACCCUGAUAACCCAGGUUGCAAACCCUACGUCUUCUUUAAAUUCCAAGUGCAUCACCCAAAAACCGAAACCAUCAAAUACAACUUUCCACGUCUCCAAUUUGAAGAAUUACUGUCCAGGCAUGGUCAAAACUGGUAGCUCCAAUCCAUCCCGGAUUAAGACAACUAUUAGUGCUCACAUAACACAGAGGAGAAGGAGGCAAUUGUCAAGAUUCGAGAAAAGAAAAUAAAGAAGUAGAAAUUACUCCGGCGCUUCGAUUUCCAGAGUCGACAUGAUCGAACUCCACGGAGAUAACCGAGCCCUAACGAUCAAAACUCUGGUCGAACCUCAGCCCAAUCGAACAAAGCGCGGAACAGAGAUCAGUUCGAUCAAAUAGGGUUCGGGAUCCCCUCGUCCUAGCCCAGACAGCUCGCGUCCGGCUCGUUAGAUGCUCAACAAUCCCUUAAACGGCAAUGCAUCAUCGUGGAACGCCGCAGCUCUGCGUCGUCGCUAGGCGGCGACAGCGAAGGACGAACUGUAGUGGCAGCGACGGCAGAGGAGGGAGUCAGCGGCGGUGACCUGGAGUCAGAGGAUAGCCAACGGUGGUAGAAGAUGGCGGCCCCCUGGCAACUCCGGCGUAGAAGAGCCGGGGAGAACGACACUAUCGAUUCGACCAAAGCAGGAUUUUUCCUCCCUUUUAAUGAGGACGUAUUUUUCCUUCUUCUUUAUAAGGAUAAAUGCCUCUCACCGUUGGAUUUAAAUCAACGGCCGAAACUUAUUGGACAUACUCCUUCAGCUCUACGUGAGCCGACCGGUUUGGUUAGAGGCCCAACACAAUUUAUUGGACCGUCGGCUCACGGCCAGAAGAGGGAUAUUGUCCGGUCGAGGGUCGAGCCACAUGGGCCAACCCGGCCCAACAUUAGACAUUAUUGGACCGUCAACUUGCUUGACCAAUAUGCCCUUUCUAAUGUAUCUAUUCUCAUCUCCAUUUAUACACGAUCAUUUUUUAUAUAUCCAUUGUCUCAAAUUAACAAAGCGAAUACUAUAUAUUACUUAGGAAAUUGAAUGACAGCACAAUAGAACGGUAAGCUGUGAUGAUCAAAAUCAUGUUUACUGAUUCCGACAAAGUUCACCAACCAAUCUAAACAUUUACACCUGAAAGAUCCACAAAGAUAAGUUUUGGAAAGUUUGACCAUGGAAUAGACGCAGGUAGUCAACGUUUACCCAACAACCACAGCCUUGUGUGGUUGACUUCAGUUUUGUCCAUGUCUGAACCCAGUGGUCUCAUGGGACAUGGUGAGGUUGCAACUUGCGUGCAGUUUCUUCCCAAAACCCUAACCAGGCUUGCAUCUUCUCAUUACCCUGCAGAGUCUUUCUACUUGCAUGUGCUGUGUCUGUAGCUCUGAUGUCGCCAUACUUUGUUUGACUGUGUGUUCUUGAGUUGUUUAUGUGAGGAUGAAGGUAUGACAUUGUGGUCAGCUGGAAGAAGCUCAUGAUCAAUAUGGUUGCACAGUAUCCAAAUCUGCAUUGUUUUUUAAGGCAUAUUACAAGGUCCAAGAUACUUGGCAACUGCUGAUCCAGUAGAUUUGUCAAUGCAUCUAGCUUGAUGUUGGCAUGGAUUUGAGCAUUCUGGUAUUUGACUUUUGGCAAUCUAAAGAAAAAGGGAAUAAAAGUGUUGUUUCUUAUAUAUUUUGAUUGGCAUACCAGUUGAACAGCAUUUCCAAUUACCAAUGGCAGGAAGUCAUAUGGUUAUGCUGCACAGCCAAUUCCAUCUUGAUGGGAUAAGGUUUCAAAUAGUUCCUUUAUGAUACAGAGAAUAGAUUGAAAACAAUUACAAGACAAUAAUAGGUCAAUACUUUACACCCAAACCUUCAAUUAUUUAAGGAUGCAGAUUAGCAAGGUCAGAUAGCACUUGAAAAAGUCUUCAUAGACUUCUUGUACCAAAAAAUAAAGUUGUAUCAAACCAAUUGAGCAGAAGAAAGUAUAUAUUCCUAAUAAUUUGAAUCAUGCAGAUUAAAAAUGUUUGGUAUGGAUAUCAAUAUGGCAGUCAAUUAAAAUUCCAAAUCAUGUUCAAUUGUGACAUGGAUGAUGACAAUGAGCUAAGCUUAGUUGUUGUUGUUCAUACUGCACCGACGAAAUGAGAAGGGAGGGGUUGGGUUUGACCAGCUUCACCACAGUCAAUGGGGUGGGGUUGGGCUUAAAGCUGUGGGUGGGUGGACUUUUGAAUGGCCUUGCUUUGGUGGUGUGGAGAGUUAGGAACGCGUCAAACUUUUAGUCCUCGCUUCAUCGGUCUUCUCCCCUCUCUCGCAUCGCAGCCCUUUGAAGCCCUCUCCUGACGCCGUCGCCAGUCGAAAGAUCUCAUCUUGGCCGACCGGUCGAUCUAAUUCAAGCCGCAAUCCUCGCUCCUGACGGGUAUGUUCUUGCUGUUUGGUGGUCCAAAGGUUGGAGCUUUUUGGUCUUUCCGAUCGAUUAAUCGUUUUCCGACGCGGUUGUGACCUGAUUCUUCCUUGUUUCGUGUUAUUUUGGCGUUUUAUUCCUCUGUUCCUUGGUAUUUUGCUCUUGGUUUGGUGAAUUCGGUGUAAAGAUGGUUCCUUUUCGAUUUCAGAGUUUCUUGUUGCAUUGGGGCUCCUGCUGCGGUCAAAAUCGGAUCAGAUUUUGGGGUUCUUGGUGUGAUGCGCCAUUUAAUUCCGCUGAUUUAUAGUUCACGUCUUGCUGUAUGAGAAGAAAGAGGCGGAAUUGAGUUAGUACAGAAAGGUUGGUACCAUGGGGGUGUUUUGCUCGAAGAUGGCUGUGGUAGAUAGAUCGCCUAGUGAGAUCACCUUACAAAAUGGAUUUGGAGGCCAGUAUGCGUUUCCUUAUGAGACUCAUGGGAAGGGGCAGGGCAUUUACAAGACCUUGCCACGGGAAGAACCUAAGAAACAGUUAAGUGAAGAUCCCUACCCGUUUGCAGCAAUGGAUGGCUUUGGGAUCAUUGAAUCUCGUGCUGUGGAGCCGAAAUUGUCCAGGGCUUCUUCACAGAAAUCUAAAACCACUAUGGAAAAGCCAACAGCCUCUGGAAAAUCUGGGACAACCAAGGCAAGUAUUUUCUUGCAUAAUAACCCAAAAGAAAAGGUCUUUUCUUUUGAUAAUUCUUUUGUUCUUGCUAGCACGUUACGUUACAUCAUGUUAACUGGCAUCGAAUUAACAUAAUGCCCCAUGUGUUUGUGUACAUUUGCCGUAGAUGCUAUUUAUGGUCUAUUUAGUGGGCAAUCCAAUCCCAUUCUUAUUCUGGUGCUGCUAAAAGUUUGUAAACAAUGAUUAAUUAUGGCCUCAAAAUCCACCUAAUGUUAAUAACUAGUGUGCACGCAAGAAUGUUCGGAAGCUAUCAAAUAUCAACUUAAGAAUCAUGAAGAACUCAUGCUAUUGCAUUUAUGCUGAUUAUGGCAUUGCCAAAGUCUAUGUUCCUAGUGGUUGUGUUUUGACAAGUUUGUUCCUGCUUUCCAUUGAAGAAGCUCUUACAUAAUAGAAUAUGUAUAAACCGUCUUCUCGAUGAUCUUCUAGCGUAAUAAUAACAUUUGUUUUGGUCUACUUAACCAAUACAGAGACAUUUCACAAGAUGCAACCAGUUUUUUUUUCUUUUCUUAUAAAUGAAACUGUUAAGAGGAAAUUAAUGAAACAACAUAAGUUCAGGUCCUGUAAUGUUGAGCAGAGAGAAAUAAGGAAUUCUCAUCAUUUCAUAGUUUCAUGGAUCAAUUUCAUUUCAGUGGGUUCUUCUGCUUGAAUUUUUUUUCUCAUUAAUAAUGCUUUACUUGAAUUUUCGGAAAGUAAUAUGUAUUCUUUGUGUGGGCCAUUGUCAUACAUGAUUACAAUGGUAAUGGCCAAAUGAGAAACUAAAGCACCUAGGAGAGAAGCUAAAUAACAAAAGAGUCAUGGCACUGAAUCAUCAGCAAAAGGAAAUAAUACCUGUUAUGCACCAAGCUAGUCCCUAUUGCCGGAACAUGGCUAGUAAAAGAUCAAUGCCCUUUAUAUUUAGAAACUCAUAAGUAUCAAGUUAAGGUUGUACAAAUUCUUCUCUCCUUUUGCUUCCAGCAUUUCAUGCCUUUGAUGAUGCACCCAGCCUCUGAUUUAGGAUAUCAGACCUGCAUAUAUUACUUUCCUUUUGCAUAUAGAUCAGUCUCAUGUGCACAGUUUAGGAAUGAGUAUUUUGCUAGAAGCCAACAUUAGAAUAUAUCUUUUAGGCCAAGGAUUUUCCAAGAACAAGUGGCAUACAUUAAUUUGGUAAAACAUGAGAAUGGAGAACAGUAUGAUUCAUACCUGAUGCAAACAUAGUUACACAGUUUGCACAUAGACAAAAACUAGAAGAGUUCAUACUGAUGAGAACAUAAUUGCAUGAUCGCCACAUAGAGAGAAAGUGACUAGCUGGUAGAAUUUUGUGGAAGAGAUUAUUUUCAAACAAAUUUAGUGAGAAAAAAAGAUAAAGUAUCAACAAGGAUAUGAUAACCUCUGUCAGUCUACUACAAUAUCUUAAUUGUUUUUAGUUAUAGAACAAGUUAGUAACAAUAUUCAUUUUGUUAGUUCAUAUACGAUCCCCAACUCACCAUGCUAAUUAUGGUAACUAUACAGAUAGAUUGUUGACCUAGCGAAAUACUUAUUGUGACUGAAAUGAUGAACUAUCUAUUCUUUUCCAAAGUAAAAAGAAAACAAAUUUGGAACUCAAAUUUCGUAUUAUAUCCCGCCAGCAGCGGGGAAGGUCAAAGUUGCCUUUACAAGUAGGAAGGUGAUAUUUAACAUUCAGUGACACAAAUCUUUGGCGCUCAAAUCAUACCGGAGUAAGCGAUCCCAUUUCUUGCUCUUCUUAAUUAUGUAUGAAGUCUAUGUUAAUUCUAAAAUUUUGAUUUGUAGGUUGGUCAAUCUGUGAAAGUUCUUGUUAUGUAUAAUUUGUGAAAGUUGUUUGAGCAUCAAGCAGAGAUGGGUCAUAUUAUGAACAAAAAUAAUAUACACACUAUUGAAAAGGGGAAGGAAUUAAUUUUCUUCUAGUGGUCUAAGAGUUCUGCAAUUUUUUCUGUGAGAUUUAGAACUCGGCAGUUAGGCAGUUGGCAUUUGCAACUGUUUUGAAGUAAUAUAUGGAAUAUGAACAUGUGUAGCAUAUGUAGUCACUCAUAUAAAUGCACAUGACAGAAUAAUCUGAGAUGCAGACCUCAAACAGCUGAGUCAGGGAAGGAUUUUGUGGUUUUUUUUCCUUUUUGUCUUUAUUUUUAAUGUGGUUUCUAUGGUUGGUUGUUUUAGUGUAUAAUUAUACUGAAGUAGCUAAGAUGUUUAUGUGCUUGACUUAUUCAAUGUUAAUCUAAUAGAAUCAGGCAUGAUUUGACUACUACUUCAAUAAUUUCUUUUAAGCAAGGCCCAUAUGAACAUUUUCUAAAGUGCUCUGGUUUAGAUUCUCCUGCAAAGCAUCGGUCAUUGAUGUUUUCCUUUUUGAUUUGUUCCAGGUCUCAGAAGUGAGCUCACUCUUGGGCAGGGCUGGUACCGUUGGACUUGGGAAGGCAGUGAAUAUGUUGGACAUAGUUGGUAGUAGCAUGACAAAUUUGAACUCUGGGAGUGGCUUUGUCUCAGGGGUCAUAUCAAAAGGCAACAAGAUUUCUAUUUUGGCUUUUGAGGUUGCCAACACAAUAGUGAAAGGUUCUAAUCUCAUGCAGUCACUGUCGAGAAAAAAUAUAAAGCAUUUGAAAGAAGUGGUGCUUCCUUCGGAAGGGGUGCAAUGUUUAGUUUCUAAAGAUAUGGUUGAAUUAUUGAGAAUAGCUGCUGCUGACAAAAGGUGAAUGAUAGACUUAAAACUGUUGCUAUGUUAAUUUCAUAAGUAUUUUUCAUGAGAAAGAAUCCUAGUAUUGGUGCUACUCAAUUAUCAUAACUUUAGUUAUAAGGUCUUCAACGCAUCUUAAAAUAAACCUUUGUGUUUCUUGUGUCCAUUCAACAGGGAAGAGUUGAAAGUAUUUUCUGGGGAGAUUAUUCGAUUUGGAAAUCGCUGCAAAGAUCCUCAAUGGCACAACUUAGAACGCUACUUUGACAAGUAAAACUUGAACAUGUCCACAUUUAUACAUUACUUGACUUUGUUUUAUUAGUGUUGAAAAUAUCAUAUUUCUGCUUUUCUUUUCAAUUCCAGGUUGGAGUCUGAUCUUACACCUCAGCAGAAGCUAAAGGAAACGGCAUCAGAGGAAAUGGAAUACUUGAUGGCGUUGGUUCAUUAUACAGCUGUGAGUGCUCAGAUAUUUGGUAGUUAAUGAAUGCUGUGACUGUAUUGUUGCUAAAAGUUUUGCUAAUUAUGAAAUUUUAAUGACUAAAUGUGCAAUCUGAAUUUGAGCUAUCGAAAAAUGAUGAUACUCUCAAAGAGUAUGGUCAACCAUUUAAAAUUCAAUUUUGAUUAAGAUGAUCUUUAAACUACUGUUGUGUGCCCUUGAUGACAUUUUGAUGACAUGUGCCUAUUAUGUUAACCAUUAUCUUUUAAGGAAUUUGUUGCAUAUAAUAUCUGUUGGUUUCCUUUUUUUCCUUUUCCAAAUGGCUGAUGUUUCCAUGAUAACUAUUCAGCAUAAUGUGGAUUUAAAGUAUCAAUUGCACUGGAAGUGCAUGUAAUACUAUUAUAUCUGUUAGCACUCCAUCAAUAAGUUCUAUACCCUUGUUUCAAAAGGUCAGCUGGACAUUUUAAUGGUUGUUUAUUUAAGAGAAAAAAAGAACUUUGCUAUUUUGACAACAGUGGCAGAUCUUCUGUAUGGCAGUUUUAGGGAUCUUUUCUUGCUUGUUAAACACUACGUAUUGUUUUUAACUGUAGUCCAACUUAUUGUUGCGUAAUUAUUGAUUUUUCUGCCUUGUAGGAGCUUUACCAUGAGUUACAUGCUUUGGAUAAAUAUGAGCAAGAUUACAGGCGGAAACUCCAAGAGGAGAAGAAUUUGGUUGCAGCUCAAAGAGGUACAUUUUUCUAGUACAUCAAAUUUUGUGGCACUUCAUCAUUGUGCAUGGUUUUAUUAUGUCAAAAUCAGCUUGUCUACAAACUACUUUUUUCUGCUUAUGUUUAAAAUGAUGUGGAGAUUACUACAGCAUGUUAUCAUCAACAUUUUGUUCAUGGUGAAUAAUUUACUUUACCUCAGUAGGGUCAGUAUGUAUGUUGCUCAUGUAGUUUCUGCGACUCAUUUGUGACCUUACAUGCCUCUCUUUACAUCCAGGGGACAAUCUACAAAUACUACGACAAGAGCUGAAGAGCCAACAAAAGCAUGUUAAAAACUUAAAGAAAAAAUCACUUUGGACACGGAAUUUGGAAGAGGUAAGCAGGUGGUACUGAUUUACAUGUGACUGUUGGGGGUAUUUAAUCAUCAUUGUCCAUGAAUCACCACCUUCAAGCCAUGAUUCUGCAUUAUAUAUCCAAUGGUGUGAUAAACCCUUUUGGAGUUCAUAUGUUCGGCUAUCAUAAUCAACUAUGUACUUAUGAUAUCAUUGAAUCUGUACUUCUGCACACUAAUGAUCAUUGAACCUGUACUUCUUCAAAUAUAUCCACAUCGGCUAUCAUAACGACGUGUAUUUUUUUACUGAGAAAAACCAACUAAUCAAACCUUUGUUACAGGUUAUGAUGAAGCUUGUGGACAUUGUGCAUUUCUUGCAUUUGGAAAUUCAUCGUGCCUUUGGAAGUGCUGGUACAUUUUUCCUAUUUUCACAUGAUACUUUUUUUUUUUUGCACCAGCAUAAUAGAGGAAAUCACUAAAUAUCUCUUUGAGGAUGCAAUUUUUUUGGAAAUUGCUUUUUCAUAUCAUUAUUUUUUAUUUGUUAUUUGCCUCAUAUCAAAAUGAUUCAUUAUAUCUUCUUUCAAUCGUAGAUGGGGAUAAACCUGUUGAAGGGUCCAUCAGCGGCCAGCAAAGACUUGGGCCAACUGGCCUUGCACUGCAUUAUGCAAAUAUUAUUAUUCAAGUUGACACUCUUGUAAGAUCCUUUUCUUUGUUUUCAUACCCAUUCUGCAUGAUAAUUGUCAACACCUGUUUGUUUUUCUGUUUUGAGAUUGUUCCUUGAGGUUAAAUUUUCUUGGUUAGUUCAAUAUGGAAUGUAAUAUGACAUUUUUUGUUUCUUGUUCAUGAAAUAUAUCAAGUUAUGCAUAUUUGAAAUGUUGAAAUUAUCCAGAGUAUGCUCUGCAUUUGUGUCUUCCUUCGCAUGUUUUGUUCAUAUAAUUCGAUUUGGCUUCCAUUUCCCCAGUUGCAUUUUUGUCACUUAUAUAAACAGCUCUGCCUUGUAUUCUCUUUUUGUGGGCAUACCAACACUAUGUUCUCAUUAUUGCUGUCUUUGCAUUUACAUUUUUGUAUUGCCUUCUAUCUCUUUGAUGCGCAUAUCGACAACAUAUUCUGAUUAUUAUGUUCUCUGAGUAUAUCAGGUUUCACGAUCAAUUUCUGUGCCACCAAACAAUAGGGACGCGUUGUACCAAGGACUGCCACCCGGUAUAAAAUCUGCACUGCGGUCCAAGUUACAAUCCUUUCAGGUCAAGGAAGAGGUAUGUUCUCCUUGAUAGCUUUUUCCCUUGCUACUAAAGGAUUUCUAACCAGCAUUUAAUAAAUCUUCAUCAUCUACUAUUCUGUCUUUCUGUCUUUUUAUUGUUGUUCUUUUAUCACUUGCAGCUAACAGUUCCUCAAAUCAAAGCUGAAAUGGAGAAAACUUUGCAGUGGCUUGUGCCAAUAGCAAACAACACAACCAGGUAAUUCUAACAGCAAUAUACUUGAAUGUACUGUCCCAGCUCUCUGUUUGCUUAUUUGGAACCUUCAAUUUAUCGAGUGACACUUUUUUCUUUUCCUAUUUGUCGAUGCAAUCCGGUCAUCAGAGUACACCAUGGUUUUGGUUGGGUCGGGGAAUGGGCAAACACAGGGUCAGUGACUGUUUCAUUGCUUCCUUUUGUGAAAGAAUUGACAUAUUUUCCAUCGAAGAGUUAGCGAUUUGACAUUAUAUGCAUAUUUUUAAUUUCAGCAUCGAAAUGAACCGGAGGCUUCCUGGGCAUACCGACUUGAUCAAGAUAGAGACGCUUCAUCAUGCAGAUAAGGACAAGACAGAUGCAUACAUACUCGAUUUGGUCCUGUGGCUUCAUCACCUGAUUACCCACAGCAGACCUGGGAACACAGCUAUUAGGUCUCCCAACAAGUCGCCAAUUCGAUCACCUAAAAAGAAGAGGUCACCUGUGUCUUCGCCCAUGAACAAAUCUGCCUCUCCAUCUUCCAAGCUCACCCCAGAAGAGCAAGAAAUGCUCCGAGAUGUCGACUUCAGAAGACGCACCCUGGGGAGAAGCAAAAGCCAGGAAUUUGAAAUCGGCGGAGCGAGGUUGAGAAAGGAUGACAGGUUGAGCAAGAGCAGCAGUCACUGCCCUCGGAACGAGAUUUCAAAAGAGUUCUCCUUGAUGAGGCGACAGUCUGUCGCCCCCGUUAUCGAUUUUGACAUCGAUCGGAUCAAAGUUUUGGAUAUAAUUGAUAGAGUGGACAGCCUUAGCAACCUAUAAUCUGAAUGUUAUGGAUGAUCCAGUUGAUUGAUAUGGUUAGCAGGCCAUCUGCAUCUCAUGUUCUUGCUUGAGGGUUGACAAGCUCUGUAAUAUAAACCAGACUUGUUGAAAGAGAACGAGUGAAUGUAUUGUAAGUAAUAUUAGAGAUGCCUAUCAUCAUUGAUUUGUGAAAAUAUACAAGGUGUCAUUCAAUCUUCAUGCACAGAACAUACUUAGUUAAAUUAAAAGUACUUAAAAUUCUUACUUCUCUUUUCUAGUGAUGUCUUACAUUUCCUCUUACCUUUUCUUAUCUAAUAGUAACUAUAAGUCAUAAGGUGGUCUUUUAUGCAUUUCAUUCAUCUUAUCUCUGAUAAAGGUUAUAUUUUUUUCUCAUCUUUUCUGGAAAUUACACACAUUCGUCUCAAUAUUAUCAUUUUGACGACAUAUAUUUUGUAUAUAAUUUUAUUUCUUAACUAAUUAACACUUAGAUCAAGAUUUUAUGGAAAGACAAAUAAACUGGGAUUUAUCUAACCUGAUAAUACAAAUAUGGAGCCUAUAACACACACAAGAAUUACUAAUCUCUACCAGGCUGCCCAACUAGAGCUUAAAUUUCCUCAAUCCAACUCUUGUUUGCUGUGUGGCGGAGGAAGGACCAAUUAUGUGUAUCACUGCCCUCUACUGCCCAUCGCUUGAAGAUAAGCAUUGCUGCCAAAAGUGACGCAACUCCAUUGGCAGACUGCAAAGAGCUUUACGUUGCCUGCUCCCAUCUUGCCUAGUAAAAGGCCGGAAGGCAGUGAGGCAGGCCAUGCCUGCUUGCUGAAGCUUUAGUGCACACUGCAAUGUCGAAGCCAUCAUGUCAGGGAACAGGUAAAGUGCAUGACAAUGGAGCGGUGUCUGCUCCCCCACAUUGGCUGGUCUUUGUGGUCUUAUAUUUGAUUGAUGUCUUCUGUGUAACUCUGUCUUUAUCUUUUUUUUUUCUUUGCUUUAGAAAAGAAAAGACUUUGUUCUCUUUAUCGGAAUAUUAAAUUAAACUUUAAAUUCGAUUAACACCUGGAAAUGUCUGCACAACAAAGAGUAUAUAUAUAUAUAUGUUCUUCCGAGAAAAGUUUAAGUUGGUAUAGGGCUGGCUGCAAAUGCAUCUUAGAACUAAGAGAAACUUAUAAAGAGAUAGGUCACUUCAGAAUUUGAGAUGAUGAUGAACAAAUUUUAUGCUGAUAUCUUUUCUAUGAAUAACAUGUUAAAGAUGAUUUUUUCGAUAUGUUCAAACUACUCAAAUGUAGAGAAAUGUCAAAUAUAUUUCAUUCCACAAAAUAAAUUUUCAUAAGAUAAUAAGACUAUGGUAAGCUAAUAAGCUCUUUCUUAUUUAUCGUGAGAAAUUAUUCGCUUUAAAUAGAUCCAUUAUUGGUACAAACUCUUUUGAGUCACAUAUCAUGAGAAAUUCUUCACUGCAUCCACACUAGUCAUUCUAGUGUAAGCUCUUGGAGCCGUAAGAAAUUAUUUCUUUUAGGUAUCUACACGAUAUGAGAUAUGAGAUAUGAUUUCAUCAUUUUAUGGUAGAUCUAAAAAAAUGUGGACUUUCGAUUUUGUCCUUUCACGAUAGAUCCAAAAGACACCUACUUUUGGCUCUUUAUUAGACAUUAACUUUCCAACUCUCCAACCAAUAUAAAAAUAAAAUGACCUUAUCACAGUACUACGAUAUGGUCUUCAUGUUGAUAAGCAACAAUCACCAUUUCCAUAUGGCGAAUUAGAGUUCACACGACAUUCAUUGCAUGUGUAAGAAGCUUAGCCGACCUAUCAUUUCCUUUUCUUAUACACAGUGCAGCUACGUGACUUGAAGCACUCUCUUGUGGCCAUGGUAGGUUGAGAAGAUCCAAAAACCCUAAUGCAACACAUGAGUUUGUCAAGAUCAGAUUGAAGUCGCUUUCUCUCCUUUGGUCGUAGGGAAUUCAAUAUGAACAGCAACACAAACAUGGGAAAGGUGUCGAGACAUGCUAAGCCCUACUUCCAUGCUCAAGUGACUUCAACCAAUACGCUGCAACUCCACUAGCUAGUUUACUUUGUACUGCCCAAGCAAACAUGGUGGUGGACUCGGAUGACAAGUGUGUUGUUCUUUGUCACAACCACUCCUACCCGAUCAAACGAUGGCAAGAUAUAUAUGUAUGGCAUUCUCAAAAGGCAUGUGGAGAACAAGGAAGGUGUUGGGUGAGAUGUGACUAAUCCUCCUCAUCGUCACGAGGCAUGACAGAAUGAGUAAGCUAGUGGGGAUCGAUGAUGAUGAUGAGUGAGUUGGUUCCAACUCAACUCAAUGACAAUUGAGGUUCCUCGGGUCCAAUCUGACGAAGUCAUUUGGAGAGCUCUUUGAGCAGCUUAUAGUAUUUGUUGCCCACCGCACCGAUGAGUGGGGGCAGUGUGAGACCAUUCUUUGACACGUUCCUUCGUCUUCCUCAACACCGCCGCUGUGGCUUCUUUUUUGAUGAAGCACGUCGGUCGUCGUUGCCCACCAAGAGGGGAUGUAUUGCAUGGGGAGUGAAGCCACCAUGCUCUUCCACGGAGGUCAAUUGGCCUCCCUCUCUUCAUCCACUACUAGCAAAAGGACACUGUGUUCUUUCCUUGUCGCUACACAGUACGUCCAGGAGGCUUGAUGAUGGCUCCAAAGGAGAGUCGAAUCGUGUAGUGGCCGACGGCCCUUGUGCACUAGCAAAAGGAGACCGUGAUAUAUAUUUGGAUCCAACAAAAGCAGGCAUGAGCUGAGGACAUCUUCUCAGACUCACUUUCUAGGGUUACAAAAGAAGAAACAAAAGCUCUUCAAACACACACACACACACACAAGUCAACUUUGUGUUUCAUCUCUUAUCUAAUGAAUUGAUGGAAGUAAAUGAUCAUUUCAGGCAUGGACUUGACGAUGGCCGGGGGAAGUCUUGGCCGUGGAAAGUGCAGUGGCACUGUCAAGAUACAUGUUCACUAAUGGAGGGUCACAGUGAGAAUCUGCUGAGUGAGUGUGUGUCGAUGCUACCGAUCACCUACAAUGAUGCAUGUUCCAUUCCAUCAUGUAACCUUAAAAAGUUAGAAUGCAGCAGCUCUUCAUGGCUUUCGCUCUGUGCGCUUCUGUUUUCCUUUUGCGAGAAUACUGAUGCCGGUUGACUGGUUUCAGCUCAUCAGCUGCCUCUCCUCCUCAUAUAUUUUCAUGCUUUAGUCAACUGUGGCUUUGUUGAAAAGGAGCCACCUCGAACUUAUUUUUCGGCCAAUAUUGGACCAUCACAACCAUCAAAUCAUGUAGCAUUUUAGCACUUUAUGUUAGGGUAUAUGUAGUGUUUGUAUAUAUCAUCUCUCUCUUCUCUCUCUCUCUCUCUCUCUCUCUACCUUGUCAAGGACCCAAGGGUCAGUUUGGAUAACUCAGCAUACGGGCUAGUCUGCCAUCGCUCUCAGUUUUCUGUGUCAUGAGGCCAUAUCAGAGUGGGACAUCUAACAUUGUCAUCCCCUUAUUUUGCUGACAUUGUUUUCCUUCUUAUCUUCGAAACAGUUUAGUGUCAUUUCUUUCAUAAUUCUUAUCUGAUUAGAAGGAAAGAAUUUUCAUCGGUAUCUCAAUUUCGAUUCAAAUGCGAAUUUGAUUCACACUAUAUGUUCUCUAAAGAAACGCAACGUUGGCUAAUGAUAAAUGUAUUGAACCUUUCAAAAAGAUAGUGCUUCUUCAAAUCUCUCAAAAUUCUUUUUCGGUGUUUAAUUUGAGUUUAUCAUAUACAUGGAUUGUGUAUAUAUGAAAAAAAAAUCCAAAUAUAGGAAGAAAAUCAUGUAAUUUUGGGUUAGUGGUUAGAUAAAAGUAAUUCUAAUGAGAGAGAGAGAGAGAGAGAGAGAAAAAUAAUUUAAUCAAAGUGAGACUAUAUUGCAAACAUUGAUAAUUUUGUUCGAUCGAUUUCCUAAAUUUAAUGAGUGCACUAAUCAAAAUCUAAUGUCUACUUCUAUCCAUAAACCUCGACGAAAAGAAAUAUAAAAAUCAAUAAUAAAAGAAUUAAUUUCUCUAUUUUAGUUAGGAAGUCAAACACGACAAAUCUAAUAUUUUCUAUCUCGAUUUCUUUUUAUGCAUUACGUUGAGCAAAUUAUCUUAUAUAACUUUUAGAUUGACAAAUUAAGAUCUAGUAAACCAAUGCAUGCUUGCAUGAGUUUGCAAGCAACUAACAAGCAAUUAGGCAUAUCUUUCCAAGAUUGAUUCCUAAAGUUUUAUAGAUAUAAGUUCUUGAGCUCCUCUUCACUUUAUCUAAUAUGCUUGAAAAGAGAGAGAAGAAUAGAGUGACUACUUAUUUAUCGAGGUGCAAAUUCAUCCUAUGUUCUAACAUAACUAUUCAUGCUCAAGUGAAAUCAGUAUAUGUCUCAUCCAUCGUCAUCCCAACAUCUCAAUCGACUUUGAGUGAGGAAACCUAAACCUAGGAAUACAGAACCUCAACGUAGUGAUGUGAGAGAGAAAGAGAGAGAGAGAAUUCCAUCUUAUCCAUUUGGUCACGGGUUGACAGAAACAAUAUUGAUGGGAAAGAAUAGGAUAGGUAGGACGAAGUUUCCACCCAUAGAUGUGUGGGGGGAGUAAGAGAGCAGAGAAGGGAGGAAAAGGAAAGUAGAUUAAUGAGCUUUGUUUUGCUAAAUUACAGCAUCCAUUGGUUGUUAAAAUAUGAUAUUGUUGUUAAGUGUCAAUUUUGGUUAUAAGUUAAUAUUAUAUUAUUAUCUCUAAAUACUAUCAUAAUCAAAAUUAGGGAUAUAUUGGAUUUGGAGCAAAGUGAGAUUUGGAGGUAUAAGAAGAUUUGGCCAAGCCUACGAUAUAACUUGUAUGUUGGUAAAAUUAUCUUAUAUUUGAAAAGAGUUUCAUUAUCUAAUCUCUAUUUGAAUGUUUUCCUUUCGAGACUCGAUUAUAAGACUACUUAAAUCAACAUUUGUUUAGCGAAAAAGACUCGAGGAGUUCAUGAGUUCUAAGAAUACAAAAUAAGAAUGUAGUUAGAGAAGUCUUUCUCUAUAGUAUUCAUUUUGUAAUGAUCAUCGAUUGAAAAAUAUUAAAUAUAUUAAUAAAAAUAAAUUUUUAGAUAUUAUUUUGAUACGACACAUAUAGAGAAUUUGUGUAAUAAGUCUUGAUUGAUCCUCAAUAAUUGUCAUACUUAUAUCUUGAAAUGAUAGUUUUCGGUGCUUAUCGUAAGUAAGAAAAUAAUCAGAGACAUAAAAAUAUUAUUUUUGAACUUCGUUAUAGUCUUUUCAUUGCCAUCGUGUAAAAUUCGAUGAACACAUGUUUUUAGAAGGUUUGUAUAAAAACAUCGUAUUCUAUUUUUUUUUAGUACGUUAUAGUGUUUUCCUAAUAUCAUUAAAAAUACUACGAUAUAGUGUAAAAACAUUAUAACGAGAUCAAUUCAUCUUAUCGAUCGCUCCAUAGGAAAAGAAAGAAAAAUCGAGAGACGAUCGGGUGUCAAGUUAGACUAUUUUAAGUAUUAGAUAAAAAAUUUUAUUCUGAGAAUUUUGAAAAAAAAUUAAUAUUCUCUAUCCCUUUCUAUUAUUGAUAAUAUCUUAAAAUAAUAAAAUAUUAUUUUAUUAUUUAUAAUCCUCCUAUUAUUAAUUUUUGUUUCUUUCUCACAACCUCACAUUCUUGUCGAUGUCACCCAUAGCGAUUAUAAAUAGUAAUAUUCUCAUGGAAACGAAAAUAUUUUUCGAGGAAAAGUAGAAAAAGAGAGUUUUUUUUUAAAUUGUUAUUAAAAAAAUGGUCAAAUGACUGUACCAAAAUUGAUCAGACAUCCUACCGAAUUAUUGGUAUUGACAAUAAACACACUAUUCCUGACAAUUGGCAUAAACUUGACAUGACGACAGUAUGACUACGACAUGACGAUGAUAGUCGAAUACCAUGUUCUUUGCAUGUCAUCGCGUCCUUGUCACCAUCAAAGCAUCUUCGUAUUAUUUGUUCCCCACAUGAGCACAAUUUAGUCCUUUGAAAUGUUCCAUACGUCCAAGCAAAUAUAUAACUGGGUUUAGAUUGUUCCAAGUCUAAUGCUAGCCAAGAAGAACUUAUCGCUCCAUAAAUCUAUUAUUAUCUUUGAUGGAUACAAAUUCAUCGUGUCGUGAAUUCGACUUGUACGAAAAUAAAUCUCAUGCACUAUACAUAAACAAAAUGUCAAAUUGAGUCGUGCAAGUUUAUAUUAGGGUUGAUGUGCUUGUUGAAAAAGAAAGAGAAUAAUAAUGAAAUGACUACACGAUCAAAUGCUUAAGCCAUAAUACACCAUCAUCUUUCAUGAGAUCGAAUGAUGAAGAAAACAUGAAAAAGAAUGAGAAAGCAACGUUGGAUUCAAGAGGAGGCGAAAGUCAACAUUGACAUUUUCCUCAUGAAAGAUAAUUCGACAGCAAGAAUUCUCGAGAGGAUUUGACAUUAUGCUUGUCACUAGGUUGAAGCAUCGCUAAUGCAAGUAUGAUUGAUUGGCUCGGAUGGGACGAUCCAUCUUUAUCUGAAGAAGAAGGAUUCGAAAUGAUAAGUAUCCCUCUACAUAUCUUUAGCUACUCCCUUUUCUCACGUACAUCAUGUAGACUUGGCUUAGUCAAACAUAUGUCACCUCACAAUCCAAAAAAUAAUGAUGCUUGGAAACGAAUCAUGGAUUGCAUCAAAAACAUAACUCGGUGCAUAAUGCUAAUUUUGUAUCGCAAUGGGAUUAUCAUCAUCGAUAUAUACCUCAUGUGAGCUAAGCAAUAUGUCACGUAAUUCGAAAAAGUCAUCAAGAACAUCUUAACUCUUAGUCAACAAACACAUAUUUCUAGAGAUAAAAAAUAGAGUGACAAACUUUGAGAGAUCCAAAAUAAUUGGAUGUUAUGGGUGUUAAUUUCUUCUUUUCUUUGAUCUUCGUAAAUACCAUCAGUGUAUCGAUAGAAACAUUCAUGCGUAUAAGAGAUGAACUAAGAUAAACUAAAAGAAUAGACUGAGGUUGGAAAGAAUCAAAAGAAUUAAAUUAUAUAUAAUGAGUUUAGUUUAGAAACUGAUUAGUUUAAGUGUUUAGAUUGAAUUGAUGUCGAAUCCGAUAUAUAUUUAACUGUGACUGAAUCUGACUGAUCAUUAUUUGAUUUCUAAUAUGCCAAAGAGUGACCAAAGUGUGCGCCACACAUCUUUGACCUCCACAGAAUCACAGAACCACAAGUACGUUGAACCAAUUGCUCUCUUCCAAAGAAAGAAUCUGCACACAGUUUGCUCGAACUUGUCGUGUGCUAAACGAGCACAAAAGUCGUUCCCAUCAUGUCCAUGGUGGUACUGUCAUUGCCUACAAGGAAGAAAAUAGCAAGAAUUAUGGUCAUAUAAAUUCAAACUCUCUCUCUCUCUCUCUCACACGCUCACACACAAACACAUUGAUGUUUGUAUGAGGUUAGUGCAGACCAGCAAAGGGAGGCGAAGACAACAGAGGGCUGCAGUAGGCUGUCAUGCCAAUUCCGUGGAGAUCUCCGCUCGUAUAUUCCUUGCUGCUUUUAGAAGCAAAAGGCCAAAGUUUAUUGUAGCAGCAAUGUUGAUCCUUUGGCCUCACGCUUGUCCUUCCUCAUGCAACUAAGUGGGUGGGUGGGUGGGUACGUGGCUUAACGAGAAGCUGCCGUGGACCUCCCCUUCCUGUCUCUUUCCCUUCUUUUUCUGCACUCCUCGAGAUCCCGCGUGUGUUGCGGUCCUUCUCGUGAAUGUACUGAGGGUGGACAAGGUUAGGGUUGAUGAUGUCCAACACUUUGCAAAUACAGUGAACUGGUCGAUGCUCAGAAAAGAUAUUUUGGAGUCCAAAGAAACACCAGUUUAAUGGCGUCAGUAAUGGCAUCUUUGAUGUGCAGAUAUAUAUCUGAAGGAUUAUUCUUCACACAGUUGUUCAGCCAAAAGGAAACAACACCUUGUGCCCUAAGAGAGAGAGAGAGAGAGAGAGAGAGAGAGAGAGAGAGAGAGAGANNNNNNNNNNNNNNNNNNNNGAGAGAGAGAGAGAGCAAGUAUUGAUGCCGUGAAGGAACACUCCCACCUCCUCCAUGGCAUAGAUCCACCUCUCAGCCAUGGAACUGGCAAAUGUGCAGCUACAACUCAUUCACCACCUAACCCUCCUCUCCUUUUAAGCAGCUAGCUGUGCCUUUUAAGCAAAUCUAACUUUUCCUCAGGUACUUUUUAUCUUUUCUCUGGCCUCCUUAACAUGGGCACUGAUCAGUAUCAGCGCUGUUCAUCUCCUGCAAGCAAACAUCAAGGAGAAGAAGACAAGCGACAACCACUUGAGCCAACACCAACCUCAUGACCAAACCAAUGACACCUGCUUCCAAAUCCAUGAACCAGAUCGAUGCUGAGGGAAGAAGAAAAAGAAGAGCGGAGUAAUGCUAAAAAUGCUUGGAGUUUAGAGACGACUGUUUUGCUUCUUCCAGCCUUCUCCUGACAAGCAUCUUCUCCUUUUGGGAAAGGUCACAAAGGAACUCUUGAUCUUUCCUUUUUUAUAUUACAUUUAAGCCCCUCAACGAUUGUUAUUGGCAAAAACUACCUGCAAAAUCCACUAAUCCGGUUCGAGUCAAUUCUGAUCCAAAGACGGAAAAUUUGAGCCGAAAAUAUGCCUAAAUUGCAUAAUUUAUGUACCUUUAUCAGAUUAAUUGGCUUUAAGAUCAUGCAUUUAAUUUGGACCAGCAUGAACCGUCUGAUUGAGAGAACCGGUUUAGGCUUUUGAGGACCGGUUCGGUGAGUUUCUGGUCGUACAGGAAUUAUGUGAACGGUAAAACAAUGAAAGAUAGGGGCUUCUUUAGAAAAUUGCGGUCUUUUUCUUUCCCUGCCGUCAAUGGGGCCAGCUGGCUCUCGUGUUCCUUUCAGAGCUCGCCACGUACCCUAUCACAUGUGGCCGUGCCAUUUUGACGUGGCCUCCACCACUCCCCACUUCCCUACUUAUAUACCUCCCCGUCUUCCUCGACCCACAUCGCCGCGCACUCCGCCCACAAUAACGCUCUGCUCGCAGCUGCUGCUCCUCCUCCUCCUCCGGUACUACUUUCCUCUGCCUCUCUCUCUUCUCUCUCGUACUAGUGCAAGAGAACAUCAGCAACAAGAAGAUGCCUUCCGAUUGUGAGCAAGAUAUUCGGAGUAAUGGUGACAGUGAUGGAGGAGUCGUUGCCACCCGAAGCAUGGACUCCAUCUUCUCGACUGCUUCUUGCUUUCCCCUCACUCUGCAAGUACUACCUCGAACGCCAUCCAUCUUUCUUUACCUCUGUUGAUUCUAACAUACGUGAUCUGCAAGCGAAGAAGUUGAUCGUGCCUAAUCGUCUGUGUGGCUGGUUUGUGUAGUUCAUCGAUGUCUCGUACUCUGUCAAGCUCGCCCCGAUGUCGGGUUCCACCGGUAGAGGGAUUAAGUGCAUGUUUAACUCCGCGGGAAAGUCCACUGCAGCUACUGAAGAGAGAGUUAUCCUCAGUGGCAUCAGCGGCGUGGUGUCUCCCGGUGAGAUGCUGGCUGUACUUGGCCCCUCCGGCAGUGGGAAGUCCACUCUGCUGAGCGUCCUCGCCGGGCGGCUCCAGGGGAAGCACGCCGGCGCGGUGCUCGCCAACGGCCGCAGGCUCACGAAGGCGGUCCUGCGACGCACCGGCUUCGUCACGCAGGACGACGUACUCUACCCGCAUUUGACGGUGCGGGAGACCCUGGUCUUCUGCGCCAUGCUCCGACUGCCGGGGACGGUGGCGAAGGCGGAGAAGGUGGCGGCGGCGGAGGCGGUGAUGGUGGAGCUGGCGCUGACCAAGUGCGCUGACACCGCAGUGGGCGGCCCGUUCAUCCGGGGGAUCUCCGGCGGGGAGCGGAAGCGGGUCAGCAUCGGGCACGAGAUGCUGGUGAACCCGAGCCUGCUGGUGCUCGACGAGCCGACGUCGGGGCUGGACUCCACUGCGGCGAGCCGGCUGGUGGCGACCCUGGGCGGGCUGGCGAGGAAGGGGAGGACGGUGGUCACGUCGGUGCACCAGCCGGCGAGCCGCGUGUAUCAGAUGUUCGACUCCGUGCUUCUGCUCUCGGAGGGUAGCUGCUUGUACUUUGGCAAGGCCAAGGACGCCAUGGACUACUUCGGCUCCCUUGGCUUUGCUCCAAAGUUUCAUGUCAACCCUGCUGACUUCAUGCUCGACUUGGCUAAUGGUUAGUAUAUCCAAAUCAAUUCCCGCUGCUCAUGCUCUGUGCUUGGCAUCUACUGUUGUGAAAGAUAUUGCUGUUCUUAUUCCUCUGUCUCUUUAAACACUGUAGCAAUAUCACCUCUCAUCAGAUCUCUUAUCGGAUUGUUUGGAAUCAAAGCGGCCCUUGACGAAGUGAAUGUUGUCCUUCACUGCAUCACUUUGAACACCCAAUAAACUACAGAACAGCAUUGGAUCUGUAGAACAACCUCCUCCUCUUCCACACAGUCUUCUUGCUACCAAGUAUCCUUAUUAGAGCUGUAAUCUUUGUAUGCUCUGAGUCGGGAUGGCUUUGCUCGAUGAGCACUCAGAGGACACGUGGUGGGGAUAGUGGGAGAAUAAUGGUGAUAUCAACGACUACUAUACGUGUCUGGUGGAAGUAAAAGGUUGGAGGAAGUCUGCUUUAUCACUUUUCGGUGCGCUUUUGCGGGGAAUUGACUCAACUUUGGCCUAUCCUUCGCCAUCUCAUUACCGGAGAUGAGAUGUGCUUUCAGAUUUUUCCAUGGCUGCUCAGUGCUUCAAUCCUUUUCCCAUUUAGUUUCUGUUCUUUUGGUUUGACUAGACUUCGUAGUUUCGAUGGCCGUUCUUAGUAAAACAUUUGACCUCAUGAGGAGUCGGUCAACGGGAGAAGCUUUGAGCUCCUGUUCAUGAACGGCUCUUAGAUCUUAAGUAAGGUCUUCUGUUGCAGGGGUUACUCAGAUGGAUCACCAGGGUGAUGCAGAGAAGUCAACCGUGAAGCAGUCUCUGAUCUCAGCUUACAACAGAGUGUUGGCACCAAAGGUGAAGGCAGCGUUGACCGCUGUUGUCCCCGGAGAUGCAACCCUGUCAGGUAAAGAUGUGUCGAGGGAGAGAGGGAGGAAAGGCCAUGGCAGCAUCAGCUGGAUCAGCCAGUUCUCCAUCCUCCUCCAGAGAAGCCUCAAGGAGCGGCGGCACGAGUCGUUCAACUCGCUCAGAGUGUUCCAAGUCAUGGCGGCGGCGGUCCUCUCGGGGUCGAUGUGGUGGCACUCCAGCGCCCGCGACGUGCAAGACCGGCUCGGCCUCCUCUUCUUCAUCACCAUCUUCUGGGGCGUCUUCCCCUCCUUCAACGCCGUGUUCACCUUCGCGCAGGAGCGAGCGAUCUUCAUCAAGGAGCGAUCCUCGGGCAUGUACAGUCUCUCCUCCUACUUCAUGGCGAGAAUGGCCGGCGACCUGCCGAUGGAGCUCAUCCUCCCCACCGUGUUCACCCUCAUACUCUACUGGAUGGCCGGGCUCAGGGCCGAGCCAGCGGCCUUCCUCCUCACGGUUGCAGUGCUGCUCGGAUACGUGCUGGUGGCGCAGGGCCUCGGGCUCGCUUUCGGUGCGGCGAUCAUGGACGCAAAGCAGGCGUCCACCAUCGCCACGGUGACGAUGCUGGCGUUCCUGCUCACCGGCGGAUUCUACGUGCAGAACAUACCGGGCUGCUUGGCGUGGAUGAAGUACGUCUCCUUCACCUUCUACGGCUACAGGCUUCUCAUCAGCAUCCAGUACAGGGGCAACGAGAUGGAUUACUAUAUUCACAGGAAGGGGAGGGAGGAAGAAGGCGAUCUGGUGGCGCAGGUGGACGCUUCGGUGUGCAUCGUAGCUCUGAUCGCCAUGCUCGUGGGGUACAGGGUCUUGGCCUACAUUGCUCUCAGGCGCACCAGUGCUUGACAUGCCCGACACUCCGAUGAUGGUGUCCGUGGCUUAUCUACUACAAUAAAAAAGAAGAAGAAGAAGAAGAAGAAGAAGAAGAAGAAGGAGACACGAGGAAGCUCGUGAAGUGAGCAAGUGUACAUUGGAUUGUGAAAACCCAAACAUGGUUAGGAAUCAAGAGACAAAUCGAUUAGAGUGCUUGGCGGCUGUACAUUGCAAGGAAGAAGAAGGGUGCUUCUCUGUUGUGUCACUUCACAGUCAUCGCUCUCUUAAUCUCUCAGUGACAGAGCAGCUGUUAAUCGUUAAUAGUGUUUGGUUGUGCCAAAUUAAGAGUAAUGAUGAUUACUAAACACUCUGCAUGCUAAUUGUUGGUAGUGUUUGGUUGGCGUUUCUUUUUAGUCUCAUGACAUAUAUUAAUAUCUUUACCGACUGAGCUCUGACUAUUAUUUUUUACUCAUAUAUAUAUAAUAAAUAAUAUGAUAAAAAUAAUGAGAACAUGUCAAAUAAAUGUCAACAUGAACUUCGAGAAAUCCGAUAACUCUUAGAAUUUUGGGUCAAGUGAUCUGAGAUCCAUCAAAUUAAUGGAUAAAUUAGAUGAUCAUAGAUCUCAUCAAACAUGGAAGCAUAUUUCAAUUGUCAAAUGGUUAUCAUUGGAUACCAUAUGAUGGUUGACGUGAGAGAUGAGAUAUGUCCCAAAAGGUUGACCAAAGAGAACUAGAAACGUCGGGUCAAAAUCACCUAACAAAUUCUAUGAUGCUUUAGACGUACAGUCAUUUUGACUUCUCUAUUAUGAGUAGGGUAUCCUAACAGAGUAAAAGAAAUUAGUAUAUAUUAUUAAUAAAAUAAUGGAGUUCGGUUAAUAUUUAAUAGACACUGUCAUAUCAAUUUUCGGAAAAGAGAAAGGGUUUACUAUAUAGCAUAGCACUUAAAAGAAAAUAUUUUUCUUUUGAAAUAGUUCGAUGAAAUUUAGAUGGCUAAUUAUAAAUUACCUUUAUAGUUAGAUCUCCUUAGCAUCUUAAUCCUUAAAUUAAAAAAAAUAUAUUGAAAUAUCUAUAGUUAUGAAAAUGAAACAUAUAGAUUCAUUUAUCCUAACGUCAUCAGUUUUAUCAAUGAAAAUAAUAGAUAAAAAUAUAAUUUCAGUUGAUGAUGACGUACGAUAUCGAUGGUGACGAACGAUGGCAUCGUUUGGGGCCACCAUUGGCUAUUGUGAAUGAGGAGAGUGACGACAAGAUAUGAGGGCUACUCUGUAUCUAUAUUGACGCUGACGCAAUUACUAAGCGGGCCUUUCAUUGCUCUAUAUUUGCAUUAGCGUCGAUGCAAUUGUCGAGCGAUAAAAAAAUUGCUCAGUGUCGGUGCUGAUGUAAAUAUAGGCUGAUGUCACUCGAUAAUUUUGUCAACAUCAACACAAAUGUAGAGCGACAUUGCUCGAUAUCUACAUCGACGACCCUUUCAUCGCUCGACAAUUGCAACAACAUCGAUAAAGGUGCAAAAUGACAAAAGGGCUACUUGGCAUUUGUAUCGACAUUGAUGUAUAUACAAGGCAAUGUCACUCUAAAUCUGUAUCAGCACUUAUGCAAAUGUUGAGCAACCCUUUUACCACUCGACAAGUGCUUCAACACCGACGUAGAUAUAGAGCGGUUCUCAUCUUUUAUCAUCGUUCUCCUCAUUCAUAGUAGCCAUCUAUCUAGCGGCACUCUUGUCUACUACCAUUAAUGUCAUCUGUCACCACUAAUUAGAAUAUUAAAAUUUAUCUUUUUAUUUACUAUUUUUAUGUUUUCAUCGAUAAAUCGAUGAUAUUAGAGUAAAUGGACAUAAAUAUUUUCCUUUCAUAACUAUAAGUAUUUCAAUAUAAUUUUUUUAAGUUUGAAAAUAAAGAUGCUAAGGAAAUCUAUAAUUAAUUUUUUAUAAGUAAUUUUUUUAAGUCUAACUAGAUAGGGAAAUAUAUAAUUAGCUAAGUUAAAAAAAAAAUUGAUUGAUUUGAUCAUAAAAAUGACUUUAUUAGAUGUAUUUAGACACGGAUGAGAUAAAUAAUACGUGAUAUAAAUAUAUCCAAAAGAACCUUUUUCAAAUAUAAUAAUUCAAAAUUAUAUUGCAUUAGAUUAAUUUUAUCAGGUUGGAUUGGCAAUCAAAAUUAAUCAUAUUAAGAACUAAUGAUUUUUUUGGUCUUAUUUUAUCAAAUUAUAUACGUUUUAUUCUAGAGAAAUUACCACCAAUUGAGUAUUAUUUUUUUGAUAGUGACCUUAGAGCCUCAAUUCAAUCCAUCCCAAUCAGAUCCACUUUGACGUUUAUUUCUUCUACGACACGACAUAUUUCGUCUUGAUUAGACAUACAAAAUUAACCUCAUCGAGGUUAAGAAGAAGUACACGUUGGAUCGAUUAAUAAUUAUCGAUUUUUAUAGAUCCUUAUUUCUCUUGAAAGUAAAAAAAAUAGACUUUGAUAGUAAAGUUUAAAGGAUUUGAUAGGUGACCAAUGAUCUAACCGAUAAAUCAAUGUCACGCACAUCAAUCGUCUGAGGUGACGAUUGACAAUACGACUCCAUGUUUAUGACACAUGAUCGACAUAUUCAUUGUUAGAGGCCACAUAUUUCAAGAUUGAGUCAAACCAAUCAAGAUAUGUCUCAGAUUCGAUGCACCUUGAUGUCACAUUCUAAUUCGAUGUACAAUCACUCUUCAUAUCUAAGAUAAUAUUCUGGAAACCUCAUAAAAGAAAAUCAAAGAGCUUUUAGGUGAAUGAAUAUUUAUUGAAAAUACUCCUGUCUUGAUUUUACGGGUUCGAUGCUUUUAGGUCCAUAGUUCGCUUUUAGACCGAUACAUGAUAAGAUAUAUUUUGGGUUAAAGUCACAAUCAUAAUUGAUGUCAUACUACGCUAUAGCCGAGUCAAUAAGGGGAGCACCCCUACACGCUAAGUUAGAAUCCGUACUGAGACGCUGUUUGGCAUGUCCCAUCUCGGAAGCUUGGGGCGAUGCCGUCUGACGUUGUCCCACGCGUCCCAAGCCAGCGAUCGCACAGUACCAUCUCAUCCCCCGAGGAUCAGCUGCCACGUCGAACUCGCGUGCGACCAACCCUCGCACAAUAAUAUAAAAGCCCAUGGCCGACAUCCGGCCAAGAGAGAGGCCACAAAAGAGAAGAAAAAAAUAACUACUGACUUGCUCGUUAGAGGAGCCAAAGUCGGGAAUCACCCGACGAAAGCCAUUUUUGCAAACAAGCGGCCACCCCCAAGUUAGGAGUGUCUCAACUUGGGAAUCCCCAUCCAGUGAAUGAGGGCGAGCACCAAACCAGCCCGAGAACGGAGAGACGUUGCUCAAUGCAGACGAUGCCCGGUUCGAGAAAUGCUGAUCACCACCCCGUUGCGAGGGCCCGACCUACCUCGACAUCCAACUCACCCGACGGAAGACUCCCAAUAUCGACCCGUGGACCGAGCACUCACCAGCCACAAUACAUCUGUUCACCAACAAUAAAAUUGAUUGGCUAUAAAAUUGAUUCUAUUUCGGACAAUAUAAAACUAGAUUAACAAGAUUGAAUUUCAUCCUUAUAACUUAUGAAAAAAAAAAAUCCACCCCAAGGCAAUUGAAGAAUAAUCUUCUUUUGAUAGUGAGACUCACAUUGCAGAGCAGAUGGGGCCCUCCACUAUUUAUUUGAUAGCAAGAUUGAAGGAUGAGUGCCAUCCUCAUGACUUUAUUAUCAUCUACGAAAAAUAAAUAAAAAAACAUAUAUUCACCCAAAAGUAAUUGAAAAAAAGAAAAUCUUAUUUCUACAACGUGACUCACAUUGCCGGAGACAGGUGGGUUCCGUGUUCUUCGCUGAAUUAACGCGUCAGGGACACGAUCCUUCAUCACUCAUGUGGGCACACAUGCCGCUCGCCCAUUGCAUCGUUCUUCAUGUCAUAAGGAAGGAAGGGGUCGCAGUUAAGACCGAUUGUGAGAUAAUUAACCACGUCUAAUUAAAUAUGGAAGCAGGAAACCUUCUUUUCUUAAUCCAACAUCAUCACUACAGUUAAUGCAGCAUAUUGGUGUUAGAACGUUGAUUAGCCGACACGUCUAAAGUCUGAACAAGCAAAAGACUUUGGAGAGAACAAAAAUGAGAGAUGGGGAGGGGAGGAGGCCAAGUGAGACCUUUUGUCGUCGUGGUGGUCUGAGGAGGGAACGCAUCGCCACCAGAGAGCGGAGAUGGGGCGGCGAUGGUGGCCGCCGGCGCGGAGGAGGGCCUGCCUGAUACUGGCCCUGGUCUGCUGCUCCCCGGUCCUUAUCCCCCUCGCCUGCCUUUCCUUCCCUCUGCUCUUCAUCGCCGGGCUCUGCCUCCGGGUCGGGCGGCGGAGGCGGAAGCCGCGGGGCUGGGAGGGUUCUGGGAUCUUAGGCCGGUGCGAGGACGACGAGGAGGCGGCGGAGGGGCGGCUGCUGCACCGAUACCUAGAGGACCAGUUGGGCCUCGUCGGAGCCGGAUUGCUCCUGGACUGCGACGGCGGCGGCGGCGGUGGAGAUUAAGGGCGCCUAAAUAACCACCCUCCCCAAAAAGCACUUCUUUUACAGAGAAAAUUGGAGCGAAAAGGAACGGAGUGAAGUUUGUUUGUUUGUGUUAUGUUGCAGUAAAAGGAACAGAGAAAUGUAGAAAACAGUGCGAGCAUGCAAGAAAAUGAAAGAAACAAAAACGUCGUUGGUGGGUAAAAGACAAAUUUUUUUUUUGAGUUUAUUAAAAUCAUAUGUAAAUCCUUUUUUUUUCUCUAUACGCUUUAUUAAUUAAUUAUCUUAGAAAGGAUAUUCAUCUUCUGAAUAUUGAACCAAAUUGGUUCUCGAAAAUACUUGCUUUUGCAUAUUAAUUUUUCUAUGAUUAGAGCAAUUUUGAUGCAAAAAAAAAAAAAUCCCUAAAUCGCCAUUAAAAGAACUCUUUCUGCGUUGGUUGUCUAAAAUUUUGUGAGGUAGUCAACCAAACAAUCUCCAACAAAACAGAUUGAUCAAAAUGGUGAGAUCAGAGUAACUCAAUGCAGCGUAAAAAUGCUUCUCGUUGUCAGUGGAUAGAGAUUCUUCCAACAAUUCAAGCAGUGAUACACAUGAAGCAACAAGCAGUGCCUUUGGAGACUGGUGAUUCCAACAGUACUGAUGAAACAUACAAUACUUCUCCCAGUUCUGCAUGCGGUAUGAUCAAGCAUUUGAAUCCUUUAUGAAUCUGAGAGCAGUUGACCAACCACCAUUGCCCAACUAGAGGCGUGUGCUUAUUGUUCAUGACUGGAAGCAAAGAUUGUUGAGAAUGAGUUCAGGUCCCUAUUUACAUCAAUCUCCGAGUAACCGGUGAACAGUAAUCAAUAGUUGAAGACAGUAGCAAUCGUAUCACAAGAAGCAGAAUAGUCGGUUUUCAGUUUGAUACUACAAUGAGAAUAAAAGUCAGGCAACAAACAAUUGCUUCUGUCCUAACAUUUUUGACGGUGUCGUUCCGAGAAGUUCCCGGAAAACCAACAUAAAAAAUGUGUGAGAAUAUGGUCUGAGUGCACGUUCAUCUUAACCAUCAUACUGUUCGGGUGAAGCGAACAAGCACCUCUGAAGACUCGUGAUCAGUGAGGAAGGUCAUGCAAUGGGGUAUGCAACAAGAGAUCUGAUCUGAGCAACGAGUGUACAUAAGUUGAAUAUAUUUACUGAAUCUGCUCCUAAUGAUAUUUCUACAUAAAGUGAUUCUAAGUGUAAACAAUAUCCAACAAUUAGUAUUCAUCUAUAUACAGCUGCAAUAUAGCUUGUUUUCUUCAAUAGUGACAGCAGACUUGGAAGCACUUGCACAAAGACAUAACUUGUCCCAUAUCAAAUGGUCAACUUGUUUUGCUUGCCUCCGGUAGUAAUUGAACUAUUAUCAUCCUGUUUUACAGUAGCCAGAAUAAAUAUUAUUGAAAACAAUUAAAAUGAUCCAUGACAUGGAGUGAAAGUUUCAUUCAGAAUAGAGGUUCUCUAGGUAACAAUGCAGUAGAUAAAGCUAUGAUAUUAAAACACUUCAGUGCAUAAUUAAAAAAAAAAAUCAUCGAGUUUAUCUGAAACUCCAUCAAGUUAACCCAACUCAGCAGCAUCUUGAGGGUCGUGCUCGACUCAGCUAGCUACAACUUGGAGUCAAAACUCGAGCUGUACUCAGUAUGGCCCGACGAGUUUCUUAAAAUGAGGUUGAUGAAUUUGGAACGAGUAUUAGUGUAGCCUCAUCUAUUAGAAAUAUGGCGGUAAAAGUGUUAUAUUGUUAUUUUCCAUCAUUGAGCUUUUUAUUAGAAGAGAAAGCUAUUUCUAACAUAAAUGCCCUUUGUUUCUAUUUUCAAUUGCCUCUAUGGAAUAAAUGGGCCCUCUUUAAAAAGAUAACAUCCAGGGGUACUCUAUGGACUUGCCAGGAGUAAUUUGCCCUGACAAAGCAGAGACCAGUAGUAAAGAGCAAAGUUGAACACAUACAUAUGCUGAUUGAUUGAUGAUAAUCAUAGAAAAUUAAUGUUUAAAAUUUUUUAGAGUACAAUGAAAGAUCAAUACAAUCAAUUUCAAUCGCUUGCUAUGAGAACUUGAGGUGGAUUAUCGAGUGCAAUACUAGUCGAUUGCAAGAAUUAUGUAAAUGUUUUUACUAGUCAAAAUUGUUCAUGGGAUACCUAUGGUGAACUUUUUCAGAUGAAAAGAUUAAAUAACAACGUAAGAAAUUGAACUUGCUAUAUCUAUGGAAUUUCCUGCAGCCACUAGCAAGCCAUUUCAUAAUGAUUCAAAUUGACAUCUUGACUAUCAUACAUCAACAUGUACCAUAUUGAUAAUUUGGGAAAUUAACCAAAUGAUAAUAAGCAAGAAAAAGAGAGAAUAAAAUAUCAACAAUAUUUGCAAUCGAUCUUCAAGUGAUACUCAGAGAAUAAAGACAAGCAACUCAAAUCUAGACUAUGAAACAUCAUGUAUAUGAUGCCUAGAGGUAUUGACAUAAUUCAAAUCCUCCAAAAUAUAUAAAGAAACCAUAAAAGGGGCUCAGUGUAGUUGUAGCUUACGCAAUUUUGUUUGCAGCAUAGAAUACUUGAAGCUUUUUUGGUCCCCCUCCUCUAAAUGAUCUUCUUACCGAAUUAACAACUUGUUCUAAGUGGGUGCCUGCUGCUGUCAAAACGAACUGCAAAACCAUUUGCUCGAAUGACCAUCUGAGACAUAAGCAAGGAAUAUACAAAAGAGAAAAUGCUGCAUUUAUUUUGCAUCAUUUGAUCACUCUUGAAUUAUACUGACAAAGUUUAAGGAAAUCAGUUACUUGUUUGCUUGGAUCAGAAAAAAAGCACGAAACAUCUUGCUAAUAAUAAACCACAAUUAUGCAUCCACAAUCUUUAAACUGAAAGCAGAAUUUUAAUACUAGAUGUACCUCAUGGUACGGCCAGGUAUUAUCUGUUCAUUAGGGGACUAGCAUGGCAAUCAGACGAUUUUGUUCAGUCCGUUUCGAAAUGGUGUGUACUGGAUGGUGCACUCGUUUCAUGUGUAAAGAUCGAAAUAUAGGAGGCAAUUACAUACUACCGGUUUUCUAAUUUUUAAAAUUUUUUUAAAGGGUCAAUCAGUCAACAACCAUUUGCUGUCAUAAACAACUUUUUGGCUGUAAACAGCAGUUGACAGUUGUAAACAGUUGUCAACUAUCUGUUUAAUUCCUCUCCCUGUCUCUGCCAUGCCUCCACCUCCGCCAACUUGGCAUCCACCUCCUCCACCCUCGACAUCCACCUCCUCCUGUCAUCACUGCCUCCAUCAAAGCUGUUUCCUCCUCUUUAAUUCGGCAUUACUACCUCCUCCUCUCUUCAUUUUUCCUCCAGCUGCUCCUCUCCUCCGCCGCCGCCUUUGUCUCCUCCCUUUCCUCCUCCUCCUUUUCCUUCUCCACAUCCCCUCUUCUCU